AUAAGAAAUUAAGAGCGUAUGGUGAAUGCCUAGGCUCUCAGAGGCGAUGAAGGACGUGAUAAGCUGCGAUAAGUCUUGGGGAGGUGCAAAUAACCUUUAAUCCAAGAAUUUCCGAAUGGGGCAACCCACUUAGUUGAAGACUAAGUAUCCAGCAAUGGAGGCAAACGCAGGGAACUGAAACAUCUUAGUACCUGCAGGAGAAGAAAAUAAUAAUGAUUCCCUUAGUAGCGGCGAGCGAAAUGGGAAGAGCCCAAACCAUCUAUGUUUAGGCAUAGAUGGGGUUGUAGGACUCACACAACGGUAUAUAAAUUGAAGUGGAAUCAAUUGGAAAGUUGAGCCAUAGAGGGUGACAGCCCCUUACACGUAAGCUUUAUAUAUUAGUGAGUAUCCUGAGUAGUGCGGGACACGAGAAAUCCUGUAUGAAUCUGCCGGGACCAUCCGGUAAGGCUAAAUACUCCUGAGAGACCGAUAGUGAACCAGUACCGUGAGGGAAAGGUGAAAAGAACCCUGAAUAAGGGAGUGAAAAAGAUCCUGAAACCAUACGCUUACAAGCGGUCGGAGCCCGUAAGGGGUGACGGCGUGCCUUUUGCAUAAUGAGCCUACGAGUUACUUUUACUAGCAAGGUUAAGCACUUCAGGUGCGGAUCCGUAGCGAAAGCGAGUCUGAAUAGGGCGACCAUAGUUAGUAGUAGUAGACGCGAAACCGUGUGAUCUACCCAUGGGCAGGUUGAAGCUUUGUUAACCCAAAGUGGAGGACCGAACCCGUUGACGUUGAAAAGUCUUGGGAUGACCUGUGGGUAGGGGUGAAAGGCCAAUCAAACUCGGAAAUAGCUCGUACUCCCCGAAAUGCAUUUAGGUGCAGCGUUGAUUUAUAGUUUUAUAGAGGUAGAGCUACUGAUUGGAUGCGGGGGCUUCACCGCCUACCAAUUCCUGACAAACUCCGAAUGCUAUAAAAUGUUACUCAGCAGUGAGGGCAUGGGUGCUAAGGUCCAUGUCCGAGAGGGAAAGAACCCAGACCAUCAGCUAAGGUCCCAAAAUAUAUGUUAAGUUGAAUAAACGAGGUGAAACUGCUUAGACAGCUAGGAUGUUGGCUUGGAAGCAGCCAUUCAUUUAAAGAGUGCGUAACAGCUCACUAGUCGAGCGGUUUUGCAUGGAUAAUAAUCGGGCAUAAACAUAUUACCGAAGCUAUGGAUUUGUAUUAUAUACAAGUGGUAGGGGAGCAUUGUAACCUGCGUAGAAGGUGUGCUGUAAGGCAUGCUGGAGUGGUUACAAAAGAAAAUGUAGGCAUAAGUAACGAUAAAGGGGGCGAGAAACCCCCUCACCGAAAGACUAAGGUUUCCUCAGCGAUGCUAAUCAGCUGAGGGUUAGUCGGGUCCUAAGGCGAAUCCGAAGGGAGUAGUCGAUGGAUAACAGGUUAAUAUUCCUGUACUUCUUAUAAUUGCGAUGGGGUGACGGAGUAUUGAAAGCACCGCGAACUGACGGAAUAGUUCGUUAAAGUAUGUAGCUAUAGAACCAGAUUAAGAGUUAGGUUUUGGCAAAGUACGAUAGUACCACAAAGCUUCGGCAGCGUGGAUAGUGUGCCUAAAAGCUUCCAAGAAAAACCUCUAAGCUUCAGAUUAUAAGAACCCGUACCGUAAACCGACACAGGUAGUUGGGAUGAGAAUUCUAAGGUGCUCGAGAGAUUCAUGGCUAAGGAACUAGGCAAAAUAGACCCGUAACUUCGGGAGAAGGGUCGCCACGCUUUACGGCGUGGCCGCAGUGAAAAGGUCCAGGCGACUGUUUAUCAAAAACACAGGGCUUUGCUAAAUUGAAAGAUGAUGUAUAAGGCCUGACACCUGCCCGGUGCUGGAAGGUUAAGUGGAGGGUUUAGCUUCGGCGAAGAUCUGAAAUGAAGCCCCAGUAAACGGCGGCCGUAACUAUAACGGUCCUAAGGUAGCGAAAUUCCUUGUCGGGUAAGUUCC
rnacentral:rRNA from 1 species